AUACUACUCCCUCCAUCCGGAAUUACUUGUCAUCAAAAUGGAUGUGUCUAGAACUAAAAUACAUCUAGAUACAUCCAUUUCAAUAACAAGUAUUUUCGGACGGAGGGAGUAGUAG
rnacentral:pre_miRNA from 1 species